ACUACUGAUUUCUAUCAAAGCAACUUCGAUGCCUUCCAGACAUCAGAGCCGACAGAUGAGAAGAGCUAAGAACAUGGAGGAGGCUCCUGUAGACACCAAUGUCUCUUGCCAUUUCAUACCAUAGCUCCCCUCCUCCAAGCAGCCUUCCCAGGUCUUUUGAUCAUGGCAGCAAAAAAGCUGACUAAAACAGAGCACUGUAUGGAAAAAAGUGAUGUGAAUUGAAAGUGUAGAAGCCUUCUCAGAGAAGAAGUAUGGCAAGAGAACUUCCCACUGGAGGGAUGAAGGAAGAUCUCUUGAUUUUUGAUCUUGGAGGAGGUGGUAUUGAGGUGUUCCUUUAAGGAUGCUCUGAAACAUCCAGACUGAAAACUCCCAGGGACAGUUUUCGAGUACUUUACUUACCACAACGGGGGCUUUGAGACGGAUGCUGACACUGGAAAAGCUGAGUUCCAGUCCUGGGCUCUCUGCUCACCAGCCACUUGAGCCUGGACACAGAUGCCUGGGCCCCUCCGGAGAAACUGAUUGAAGCAGUCUGUCCAAGAACCUGGCUGUUGGGAUCCGUUGCCAGCUCCCCAGCACAAUUCAGCAUGUCACCAUUAGCACCAACUGUGGAGUUGGGUUCUCCUAUCCUAUCAUCCUAGCAUCACCCAGAGCGGUUGACUUCCUGCAAUGAACUUCAGCAGUUUAACUUGACAUUUGAGGUCCUCGGUAGCGUCUUCCCAAAGGACUUUU